rnacentral:rRNA from 1 species
UAACUUGAGAGUUUGAUCCUGGCUCAGAACGAACGCUGGCGGCAGGCCUAACACAUGCAAGUCGAGCGUGAUUCCAGAACUUCGGUUCUGGAUGAAAGCGGCGAACGGGUGAGUAACGCGUGGGAACGUGCCCCUUAGUAUGGAAUAGCCCGGGGAAACCUGGAAUAAUACCAUAUACUCCCUUCGGGGGAAAGAUUUAUCGCUAAGGGAUCGGCCCGCGUCUGAUUAGGUAGUUGGUGAGGUAAAGGCUUACCAAGCCUACGAUCAGUAGCUGGUUUGAGAGGAUGAUCAGCCACACUGGGACUGAGACACGGCCCAGACUCCUACGGGA